GAUGAACGCUGGCGGCGUGCCUAAUACAUGCAAGUCGAGCGAACGGACGAGAAGCUUGCUUCUCUGAUGUUAGCGGCGGACGGGUGAGUAACACGUGGAUAACCUACCUAUAAGACUGGGAUAACUUCGGGAAACCGGAGCUAAUACCGGAUGAUAUAUUGAACCGCAUGGUUCAAUAGUGAAAGACGGUUUUGCUGUCACUUAUAGAUGGAUCCGCGCCGCAUUAGCUAGUUGGUAAGGUAACGGCUUACCAAGGCAACGAUGCGUAGCCGACCUGAGAGGGUGAUCGGCCACACUGGAACUGAGACACGGUCCAGACUCCUACGGGAGGCAGCAGUAGGGAAUCUUCCGCAAUGGGCGAAAGCCUGACGGAGCAACGCCGCGUGAGUGAUGAAGGUCUUCGGAUCGUAAAACUCUGUUAUUAGGGAAGAACAAAUGUGUAAGUAACUGUGCACGUCUUGACGGUACCUAAUCAGAAAGCCACGGCUAACUACGUG
rnacentral:rRNA from 1 species